rnacentral:rRNA from 1 species
UACGGAGGGUGCAAGCGUUAUCCGGAUUUACUGGGUUUAAAGGGUGUGUAGGCGGACUUUUAAGUCAGGGGUGAAAUCCCGAGGCUCAACCUCGGAACUGCCUUUGAUACUAUUGGUCUUGAAUCUUGUUGAGGUGGGCGGAACGGGUCAUGUAGCGGUGAAAUGCAUAGAUAUGACCCGGAACACCGAUUGCGAAGGCAGCCCGCUAAGCAAGCAUUUGACGCUGAGGCACGAAAGCGUGGGGAUCAAACAGG